GACGAAGGUGACAACCGUUGCUCGGAAUCACUGGGCAUAAAGCGCGCGUAGGUGGCUGUGUAAGUCCAUGGUGAAAUCCCUCGGCUCAACCGAGGAACAGCCGUGGAUACUGCAUAGCUUGAGUACGGGAGGGGUGAGUGGAACUCUGGGUGUAGCGGUGAAAUGCGUAGAUAUCCAGAGGAACGCCGGUGGCGAAAGCGACUCACUGGACCGUAACUGACACUGAGGCGCGAAAGCUAGGGGAGCAAACAGG
rnacentral:rRNA from 1 species